AUCCACGCGGACCGCAAUGCUAUCGGACGUCCGAGCGCUCAAGAACCCAAGGUUACGUCCGCUA